GAGGCAGACAUUGACAUCAGUCAUCUAACGCAGUUCUGCAGAACUGUGCAGAACAUACUACACUGUCACCAUAUUGUUAACCUGAAGCACAACAUACUACACUGUCACCAUAUUGUUAACCUGAAGCACAACAUACUACACUGUCACCAUAUUGUUAACCUGAAGCACAACAUACUACACUGUCACCAUAUUGUUAACCUGAAGCACAACAUACUACACUGUCACCAUAUUGUUAACCUGAAGCACAACAUACUACACUGUCACCAUAUUGUUAACCUGAAGCACAACAUAUUACACUGUCACCAUAUUGUUAACCUGAAGCACAACAUACUACACUGUCACCAUAUUGCUAACCUGAAGCACUGCAAGCAGAACAUACUACACUGUCACCAUAUUGUUAACCUGAAGCACAACAUACUACACUGUCACCAUAUUGUUAACCUGAAGCACAACAUACUACACUGUCACCAUAUUGUUAACCUGAAGCACAACAUACUACACUGUCACCAUAUUGUUAACCUGAAGCACAACAUACUACACUGUCACCAUAUUGUUAACCUGAAGCACAACAUACUACACUGUCACCAUAUUGUUAACCUGAAGCACAACAUACUACACUGUCACCAUAUUGUUAACCUGAAGCACAACAUACUACACUGUCACCAUAUUGUUAACCUGAAGCACAACAUACUACACUGUCACCAUAUUGUUAACCUGAAGCACAACAUACUACACUGUCACCAUAUUGUUAACCUGAAGCACAACAUACUACACUGUCACCAUAUUGUUAACCUGAAGCACAACAUACUACACUGUCACCAUAUUGUUAACCUGAAGCACAACAUACUACACUGUCACCAUAUUGUUAACCUGAAGCACAACAUACUACACUGUCACCAUAUUGUUAACCUGAAGCACAACAUACUACACUGUCACCAUAUUGUUAACCUGAAGCACAACAUACUACACUGUCACCAUAUUGUUAACCUGAAGUACUGCAAGCAGAACAUACUACACUGUCACCAUAUUGUUAACCUGAAGCACAACAUACUACACUGUCACCAUAUUGUUAACCUGAAGCACAACAUACUACACUGUCACCAUAUUGUUAACCUGAAGCACAACAUACUACACUGUCACCAUAUUGCUAACCUGAAGCACUGCAAGCAGAACAUACUACACUGUCACCAUAUUGCUAACCUGAAGCACUGCAAGCAGAACAUACUACACUGUCACCAUAUUGCUAACCUGAAGCACUGCAAGCAGAACAUACUACACUGUCACCAUAUUGCUAACCUGAAGCACAACAUACUACACUGUCACCAUAUUGUUAACCUGAAGCACAACAUACUACACUGUCACCAUAUUGUUAACCUGAAGCACAACAUACUACACUGUCACCAUAUUGUUAACCUGAAGUACUGCAAGCAGAACAUACUACACUGUCACCAUAUUGUUAACCUGAAGCACAACAUACUACACUGUCACCAUAUUGUUAACCUGAAGCACAACAUACUACACUGUCACCAUAUUGCUAACCUGAAGCACUGCAAGCAGAACAUACUACACUGUCACCAUAUUGCUAACCUGAAGCACUGCAAGCAGAACAUACUACACUGUCACCAUAUUGCUAACCUGAAGCACUGCAAGCAGAACAUACUACACUGUCACCAUAUUGCUAACCUGAAGCACUGCAAGCAGAACAUACUACACUGUCACCAUAUUGCUAACCUGAAGCACAACAUACUACACUGUCACCAUAUUGUUAACCUGAAGCACAACAUACUACACUGUCACCAUAUUGUUAACCUGAAGCACAACAUACUACACUGUCACCAUAUUGCUAACCUGAAGCACUGCAAGCAGAACAUACUACACUGUCACCAUAUUGUUAACCUGAAGCACUGCAAGCAGAACAUACUACACUGUCACCAUAUUGCUAACCUGAAGCACUGCAAGCAGAACAUACUACACUGUCACCAUAUUGCUAACCUGAAGCACAACAUACUACACUGUCACCAUAUUGUUAACCUGAAGCACAACAUACUACACUGUCACCAUAUUGUUAACCUGAAGCACAACAUACUACACUGUCACCAUAUUGUUAACCUGAAGUACUGCAAGCAGAACAUACUACACUGUCACCAUAUUGUUAACCUGAAGCACAACAUACUACACUGUCACCAUAUUGUUAACCUGAAGCACAACAUACUACACUGUCACCAUAUUGCUAACCUGAAGCACUGCAAGCAGAACAUACUACACUGUCACCAUAUUGCUAACCUGAAGCACUGCAAGCAGAACAUACUACACUGUCACCAUAUUGCUAACCUGAAGCACUGCAAGCAGAACAUACUACACUGUCACCAUAUUGCUAACCUGAAGCACUGCAAGCAGAACAUACUACACUGUCACCAUAUUGCUAACCUGAAGCACAACAUACUACACUGUCACCAUAUUGUUAACCUGAAGCACAACAUACUACACUGUCACCAUAUUGCUAACCUGAAGCACUGCAAGCAGAACAUACUACACUGUCACCAUAUUGCUAACCUGAAGCACUGCAAGCAGAACAUACUACACUGUCACCAUAUUGCUAACCUGAAGCACUGCAAGCAGAACAUACUACACUGUCACCAUAUUGCUAACCUGAAGCACAACAUACUACACUGUCACCAUAUUGCUAACCUGAAGCACUGCAAGCAGAGCAUACUACACUGUCACCAUAUUGCUAACCUGAAGCACUGCAAGCAGAACACACUACACUGUCACCAUAUUGCUAACCUGAAGCACUGCAAGCAGAACAUACUACACUGUCACCAUAUUGUUAACCUGAAGCACAACAUACUACACUGUCACCAUAUUGCUAACCUGAAGCACUGCAAGCAGAACAUACUACACUGUCACCAUAUUGCUAACCUGAAGCACUGCAAGCAGAACAUACUACACUGUCACCAUAUUGCUAACCUGAAGCACAACAUACUACACUGUCACCAUAUUGCUAACCUGAAGCACUGCAAGCAGAACAUACUACACUGUCACCAUAUUGCUAACCUGAAGCACUGCAAGCAGAACAUACUACACUGUCACCAUAUUGCUAACCUGAAGCACAACAUACUACACUGUCACCAUAUUGCUAACCUGAAGCACUGCAAGCAGAACAUACUACACUGUCACCAUAUUGCUAACCUGAAGCACUGCAAGCAGAACAUACUACACUGUCACCAUAUUGUUAACCUGAAGUACUGCAAGCAGAACAUACUACACUGUCACCAUAUUGUUAACCUGAAGCACAACAUACUACACUGUCACCAUAUUGUUAACCUGAAGCACAACAUACUACACUGUCACCAUAUUGUUAACCUGAAGUACUGCAAGCAGAACAUACUACACUGUCACCAUAUUGUUAACCUGAAGUACUGCAAGCAGAACAUACUACACUGUCACCAUAUUGUUAACCUGAAGCACAACAUACUACACUGUCACCAUAUUGUUAACCUGAAGCACAACAUACUACACUGUCACCAUAUUGUUAACCUGAAGUACUGCAAGCAGAACAUACUACACUGUCACCAUAUUGUUAACCUGAAGUACUGCAAGCAGAACAUACUACACUGUCACCAUAUUGUUAACCUGAAGCACAACAUACUACACUGUCACCAUAUUGUUAACCUGAAGCACUGCAAGCAGAACAUACUACACUGUCACCAUAUUGUUAACCUGAAGUACUGCAAGCAGAACAUACUACACUGUCACCAUAUUGUUAACCUGAAGUACUGCAAGCAGAACAUACUACACUGUCACCAUAUUGUUAACCUGAAGCACAACAUACUACACUGUCACCAUAUUGUUAACCUGAAGCACAACAUACUACACUGUCACCAUAUUGUUAACCUGAAGUACUGCAAGCAGAACAUACUACACUGUCACCAUAUUGUUAACCUGAAGUACUGCAAGCAGAACAUACUACACUGUCACCAUAUUGUUAACCUGAAGCACAACAUACUACACUGUCACCAUAUUGUUAACCUGAAGCACUGCAAGCAGAACAUACUACACUGUCACCAUAUUGUUAACCUGAAGUACUGCAAGCAGAACAUACUACACUGUCACCAUAUUGUUAACCUGAAGCACAACAUACUACACUGUCACCAUAUUGUUAACCUGAAGCACAACAUACUACACUGUCACCAUAUUGUUAACCUGAAGUACUGCAAGCAGAACAUACUACACUGUCACCAUAUUGUUAACCUGAAGUACUGCAAGCAGAACAUACUACACUGUCACCAUAUUGUUAACCUGAAGCACAACAUACUACACUGUCACCAUAUUGUUAACCUGAAGCACUGCAAGCAGAACAUACGAGUAACAGUGAUGUGCACUAUACAGAAAUGUAUUACAUUGUUUAAACACUUUAUAAUCCAGUACUGCGCUAUGAGCACCAAUGAAACAUUUGCAUAUUAUUAA
rnacentral:lncRNA from 1 species